GUAAAAUCGGAACAAGAUGGCGGCAUCUGGAGGAGCAAGGUUGAGGAAAAGGAAGAAAGAUAUCGAUGGACAUGGUGGAUUGGAAUACAGAUCAGACCAGACGGCGGACAGUCAAAUAGACAGUGACACAGAAGAUGACUACAUUGAUGUUAGAAAAGCAAAGCACAAAAUAGAUGAGAACAAAGAA